rnacentral:lncRNA from 1 species
CAGCCUUUGAAUGAAUACAACGUUGCCUGGUUGGAAUAUUAUCGCUAUUUUACGAGAAGAAUAGCAUAAAAAUUGAUUUUAAACAGCGUUUGACAUGCUUCUAAGUACGGUAAUGGAAUAUUUAGAAUUUUUUGUCACGAAAUGAGAUCGCGCAUCACCCUUCGGAUAGUGACCUGAACGCACGAACAAAACGGAGCUAUUUGAAUAUAACUAUGGAUUAUUUGGAACCAAAACAACAUUUGUUGUAGAAGUCCUGGGAGUGCAUUCUGACGAAGAACAUCAAAGUUACCCGCUCUGUCUCUGGCUCCUGCCUCCUGUCCACAUCUCACCACCCAACUCCCUUGCUCUAGAUUUUAUUCACC